GACGAACGCUGGCGGCGUGCUUAACACAUGCAAGUCGAACGGAAAGGCCCUGCUUUUGUGGGGUGCUCGAGUGGCGAACGGGUGAGUAACACGUGAGUAACCUGUCCUUGUCUGUGGGAUAUCUUCAGGAAACUGGGGCUCUUACCGGGUAUGAUCUCCUGCUGCAUGGUGGGGGUUGGAAAGUUUCGGCGGUUGGGGAUGGACUCGCGGGUUAUCAGCUUGUUGGUGUGGUAGUUGCUUACCAAGGCUGUGACGGGUAGCCGGCAUGAGAGGGUGACCGGGCACAUGGGGCCUGAGAGACGGCCCAGACUCCAAUGGGAGGCAGCAGUGGAGAACAUGACACAGCGGCGGGAAGCCUGAGGCGGCAACGCCGGGAGCGUGAAGACGGGUUUCGGGUUGUAAACCGAUUUCGACUGUGCCGAGGAGUGAGUGACGGUAAUGGGUAAAGAAGCACCGGCUAACUACGUG
rnacentral:rRNA from 1 species